AAUCAAGUGCCUUAAGGGUGUUCGGUGGAUGCCUUGGCGCUGAGAGGCGAUGAAGGACGUGCUACGCUGCGAUAAGCCGUGG
rnacentral:rRNA from 1 species